AGGCUUUUGGGUUGUAAACCUCUUUUCUCAAGGAAGAAGCACUGACGGUACUUGAGGAAUCAGCAUCGGCUAACUCCGUGCCAGCAGCCGCGGUAAUACGGAGGAUGCAAGCGUUAUCCGGAAUUAUUGGGCGUAAAGCGUCCGCAGGUGGUACAUCAAGUCUGCUGUCAAAGACUAGGGCUUAACCCUGGAGAGGCAGUGGAAACUGAUGAACUAGAGUACGGUAGGGGUAGAGGGAAUUCCCAGUGUAGCGGUGAAAUGCGUAGAGAUUGGGAAGAACACCAGUGGCGAAGGCGCUCUACUGGACCUGUACUGACACUCAGGGACGAAAGCUAGGGGAGCGAAAGGGAUUAGAUACCCCUGUAGUC
rnacentral:rRNA from 1 species